rnacentral:rRNA from 1 species
UACGUAGGGUGCGAGCGUUGUCCGGAUUUAUUGGGCGUAAAGAGCUCGUAGGCGGCUUGUCGCGUCGGAUGUGAAAGCCCGGGGCUUAACUCCGGGUCUGCAUUCGAUACGGGCAGGCUAGAGUGUGGUAGGGGAGAUCGGAAUUCCUGGUGUAGCGGUGAAAUGCGCAGAUAUCAGGAGGAACACCGGUGGCGAAGGCGGAUCUCUGGGCCAUUACUGACGCUGAGGCACGAAAGCGUGGGGAUCAAACAGG